rnacentral:rRNA from 1 species
UACGUAGGGUGCAAGCGUUUGUCCGGAAUUAUUGGGCGUAAAGAGCUCGUAGGCGGUCUGUCGCGUCUGCUGUGAAAACUCAGGGCUUAACCCUGAGCUUGCAGUGGGUACGGGCAGACUAGAGUGCGGUAGGGGAGACUGGAAUUCCUGGUGUAGCGGUGAAAUGCGCAGAUAUCAGGAGGAACACCGAUGGCGAAGGCAGGUCACUGGGCCGCAACUGACG